ensembl:snRNA U6 U6 spliceosomal RNA
GUGCUCAUUUUGGCAGUGCAUAUAGUAAAAUCAGAACAAAACAGAGAACAUUAGCAUGGCCUUUGUACAAGGAUGACACACAAGUUCAUAAAGCAUUCCAUAGUUUU